GACGAACCGUGCAAACGUUGUUCGGAAUCACUGGGCUUAAAGGGCGCGUAGGCGGCUUGCCAAGUCAGGGGUGAAAUCUUUCGGCUUAACCGGAAAAGUGCCUUUGAUACUGGUAAGCUUGAGGGAGGUAGGGGCAUGUGGAACUUCCGGUGGAGCGGUGAAAUGUGUUGAUAUCGGAAGGAACGCCGGUGGCGAAAGCGACGUGCUGGACCUCUUCUGACGCUGAGGCGCGAAAGCUAGGGGAGCGAACGGG
rnacentral:rRNA from 1 species